ensembl:lncRNA
AUGGCUCUCACACCCCAGAGGGAGCAUUGCCCUGCUGAUGUCUUGGGAAUGUGGCGGCUCUGUGUUUGGAAUCAUCCAGGGCACUGCGAUGUGUUCUGUGCCCCCAUGUGUGUUGUAAACUGCCUUGAGUCUGUUUUGGAAAAGAAAUGGGAUGUGGAAGAAGUGCUAAUUAUGUGGUGCAGGAAGUCAGACUGCAGAGAAGCGGGUAGCUUCAUGGAGGAGUGCUACCUCCACCCCCCAUGGCUACCACACCAAACCAGGAAAGGCUGCUUGACACUGGAGUGUUUGCCGAAACCACCUCUGGUACCUGCCUUUAUUCCACGGACCACCUGUUGGCUGCCUGCAGGAACUGCCCUCCUGGAAGCCAGAAUGAGAAGGAGUGCAAAAGAGCAAGAGAGGUCUGUGUGCGUCCACGGCAGGGGCACCAGGGAGGUGCUGGACUGGGCUGAAAGAGUGCUGAGAAUUUGUUGGCUCAUCCUUUGA